UGCCGCGUGCAGGAUGAAGGCCUUCGGGUUGUAAACUGCUUUUGUACGGAACGAAAAGGUUCUUUCUAAUAAAGAGAGCUCAUGACGGUACCGUAAGAAUAAGCACCGGCUAACUACGUGCCAGCAGCCGCGGUAAUACGUAGGGUGCAAGCGUUAAUCGGAAUUACUGGGCGUAAAGCGUGCGCAGGCGGUUUUGUAAGACAGAGGUGAAAUCCCCGGGCUCAACCUGGGAACUGCCUUUGUGACUGCAAGGCUGGAGUGCGGCAGAGGGGGAUGGAAUUCCGCGUGUAGCAGUGAAAUGCGUAGAUAUGCGGAGGAACACCGAUGGCGAAGGCAAUCCCCUGGGCCUGCACUGACGCUCAUGCACGAAAGCGUGGGGAGCAAACAGGAUUAGAUACCCUGGUAGUCCACGCCCUAAACGAUGUCAACUGGUUGUUGGGGAUUAAUUUCUUCAGUAACGAAGCUAACGCGUGAAGUUGACCGCCUGGGGAGUACGGCCGCAAGGUUGAAACUC
rnacentral:rRNA from 1 species